UUCCAGAGCUCAGUUUUUCACAUUCCCCCAAUUAUAUCCAAUCCCAUUCAGUCUACCUCUUCGCAUCGCCCACUAAACGGCUGAAAGUUCGGUUAUAAAUAUCCCACCACAACUCAGCCGAGAUCCAGAAAAUAGUUUGUUUAAGCAGUCGAUGGCAUCUUCAUACACUCUCUUUACCGAUUUGACAACCGGGCGCUGCUCCGGAGGUUCAUCUGCUGAGGUUUGGAAGGCCAGAAACGUCAACAAAGGCAUGGAACUAAUGAGUGUUGACAUGUUGCUCAUUGAUGAGAAAUCAACACUUAUUCAAGGGUCCAUUGGUGCGAUUCGACAGCUGAGAUUCAGACAACGACUCACAGAAGGCCUGUGGAAGAUGUCUGGAGUAUGGGUGUCAUCACUUACAUUCUGCUCUGUGGAAGAAGACCCUUUUGGGGUAAGACAAGACGUGAUAUUGAAUGAGUUGUAGGAAAAAAAGCUAGGUAAUGAGAACAAAAACUGACUUCGAAACAAACACAUGGCCAACGAUAUACAAGGGAGCCAACGAUUUUGUGAAGAAGUUGUUUGUAUAGGAGCCAUGAGCACGGUUAACAGUAGGUGAAACACUAUGUAUAUUCUUAACAGCCAAUGUUUAUGUUUAUAGGUUUACAGUUCUUUUGGAUUUGGUUUCUUGGGCGUUUAGCAGCACACGCAUGGGUGAGAAAUUUUAAUAGGCAUAUCUGUUCUUGUCAACCCGUCAGUUUCUAAAGUUAGCCGGCUUAAGCAGAUUGCUCCGAAGGUUCGGCAGACGACUAUUGAUGAUGAUGAGCUGGAUGAUCUCAUAGACCAGUUUGAUACCAUUGACAAGAAGGAUUCCAUUAGUCUUGUGGAGACGAGACAGGCUCUUACGAAAGAUCUUCCUUGGAAGCUCAAAGAUGCAAGAUUAGCUGCGAUUAUUCAAGCAGUAAGUCUGCUCACUUGACGCUCCCACGUUAAUAAAAAACAUCUGUCUUUGCAGAUAGAUAGCAACACCGAUGGGUUAGUGAACUACGCUGAAUUUGUGGCCUUUACUUUAUACAUUAGUCAACUGGAUCAGCAUGACUCUGAUCAGUGGGAGCAGAGGUCAGGAACAGCUUUCGGGAAUUUUGACAUGGCCAGAGAUAGGUUUAUAACAUCUGAGGGAACCAAAAUUGAUCAAUCUCAUAUUUCUUAUAUUCACCUUGCUUUUUAUUAUUGUUUAAUCAAGUUUCCACCUUUGCAAUAAACGAGUUUAACGCUCUAUAGAAUCACUUCUUGCAGAAGCUGAUGUUGAUGAAGAUGGAUAAUCAGCAUUCAUGAGUUUAGCAGCUUUCUCGAAAAAUCAUUCUGGUUACCAGCUUUCUCGAAAAAUGUAAAUCACUUUUUUUUAUAAGUGAAUUAUCCUAAAAAUGAAGCAUUGUUUUGUACAUGUACAAAAGGUUAAAGUUAAUAAAUCAUAUAAUACCAGAAAAAAAAAAGAUAAAAACAUCAGAAGAUUUUCUAGGAGAGUUUUUAAAAACCCAAACAGCACUAACACAUAACUACGAGAAUCUCAGCCAAGUGGGCAUUAGAGAAUGGAACUUCUUCCUCCCCUUCCUUGCUAGAAUCGUGUUUUUAAUAUGAUGAUCUAUUCCCUUGAAGAUGGGGUCUGUAAAAGAGCAGACUGCAUUGUGCAAACAGUUGUUUCAGCAGCCAGCUUACGGAGUGUCUGAGGGCAAGUAGAAAUCACUUUCGCAAUUAGAGAUAUGAAGAUUAUAUUUUCUGCUCAUAAACAAAAGACAUUUUUUUACAAUGACCAUAUGAUUCAAGAAGAUC